rnacentral:tmRNA from 1 species
GGUCUUUUUUCGUCAACCCUUCGCGCCUAUAUUGGUGGGUGCCGGAGCAAUCCGGCUAUGGCGAUAAACGGCCGUCGUAAUAAACCUUUCGGACCCGGGGGCAGUACCCGGCGCCUCCACCCAAGCCCACCGUCGGCGGGUUUCGGCGGGGGCGAAAUAGGAUCGACGAGGGCGUAAAAGACGGACUUUUGCCCGGAAUGGGUCCGACGUUAUGGGCCUUCAUAUAGUUGCCAACGACAACUAUGCUCCGGUUGCCCUGGCCGCGUAAUGCGGCUCGGAAUACCGAUUAAAGCCCUGACGGGUUAAGCUCCGGCAGGCGGGGUUCGGAGGCACCUGGCAACAGAAGCCUCCACU